UACGUAGGAUCCAAGCGUUGUCCGGAUUUACUGGGUGUAAAGGGUGCGCAGGCGGACUUGUUAGUCAGAGGUGAAAUCUCACGGCUCAACCGUGAAACUGCCUUUGAUACUGCAGGUCUUGAAUUGGGGAGAGAGUUGUGGAAUUCCGAGUGUAGCAGUGAAAUGUGUAGAUAUUGGGAGGAACACCAGUGGCGAAGGCGACUGCCUGGACGGCACCUGACGCUGAGGCGCGAAAGCUAGGGGAGCAAACGGG
rnacentral:rRNA from 1 species